ACGCUCGACACCUACGGGGCAGCAGUGAGGAAUAUUGGUCAAUGGGCGCUAGCCUGAACCAGCCAAGUAGCGUGAAGGAUGAAGGCUCUAUGGGUCGUAAACUUCUUUUAUAUAAGAAUAAAGUGCAGUAUGUAUACUGUUUNUAUGUAUUAUAUNAUAAGANGCGACUACCGUCGUCGCGCACGCCGACGGUAAUCUGAGGCGGGCGUGGACGAAGGC
rnacentral:rRNA from 1 species